GUGUGGUUUGAGAGGAGUUGCGAUGACAAACUGUUGCAGUAGUACAUUAAAGUAAAUAAGUUCAAAGGGGCGUAACUCCUAGAAAAAAAAAUUGAAUCGCAAUUUUCCCGUCGAUAUGCACAACUACAUAGUAUGUCCUUAUUAUCUGAAAAGGUUUCAUGAAAUUCUGUUGUGUGGUUUGAGAGGAGUUGCGAUGACAAACUGUUGCAGUAGUACAUUAAAGUAAAUAAGUUCAAAGGGGCGUAACUCCUAGAAAAAAAAAUUGAAUCGCAAUUUCCCGUCGAUAUGCACAACUACAUAGUAUGUCCUUAUUAUCUGAAAAAGUUUCGUGAAAUUCUGUUGUGUGGUUUGAGAGGAGUUGCGAUGACAAGAAACAGGACUGACGGACAGACGGACUGACGGACGGACUGACGGACUGAC
rnacentral:lncRNA from 1 species